rnacentral:misc_RNA from 1 species
GCAACACCAUAUAGGGGAUCCACCAAGAAAUGAACUUGGUUCUUCACAGUAGCUGCAGAAAUAAGAUUCAUCAGGUUGAUCAGCUACCUCUGUCCAGCGCACAGCCCACUGAUGUACCACAUGCGGAUAUCCAAACAUAGAUGCACAUUUACAAUCCUUGUGAGCGCUCGAUGAGCAACUCAGAUGAGCUGCUGCACCACAUAUGCUGCAACGAUUAAAAAAUCUUUCUGAAGCAACAAUUGGACCAAGAGUCUGAGAUGGAGAAAUGGACUUCAAA